AGGGAUUUAGCUCAGCGGCAUAAGCGCCUGGCUUGCAAACAGGCGGUCGUGAGUUCAAUCCCUG
rnacentral:tRNA from 1 species